UGGGGAAUAUUGGACAAUGGGCGAAAGCCUGAUCCAGCCAUGCCGCGUGUGUGAAGAAGGUCUUCGGAUUGUAAAGCACUUUAAGUGGGGAGGAAGGGCAGUAAGCGAAUACCUUGCUGUUUUGACGUUACCGACAGAAUAAGCACCGGCUAACUCUGUGCCAGCAGCCGCGGUAAUACAGAGGGUGCAAGCGUUAAUCGGAAUUACUGGGCGUAAAGCGCGCGUAGGUGGUUCGUUAAGUUGAAUGUGAAAGCCCCGGGCUCAACCUGGGAACUGCAUCCAAAACUGGCGAGCUAGAGUAGGGCAGAGAGUGGUGGAAUUUCCUGUGUAGCGGUGAAAUGCGUAGGUAUAGGAAGGAUCGCCAGUGGCGAAGGCGACCACCUGGGCUCAUACUGACACUGAGGUGCGAAAGCGUGGGGAGCAAACAGG
rnacentral:rRNA from 1 species